GUUACUUAACUAUUGCGUGCAGAUAUCGCAGAGAAUUUCUGCGAGAUGCUUUUAGUUCUACAUCUAGUGCGAGGCUCAAGUAAGAAAAAGAAGGAAUAGGUCGGAUUCUUAUUUGACUUCAGCUAUCUACAAUCAUAAGAAGAAAAAGAAGGAAUAGGUCGGAUUCUUAUUUGACUUCAGCUAUCUACAAUCAUAAGUUACAAUUGGCCGAUAAGAUACCUAUACAUUUGGUGUCAGUAGAAAGGCAAUAAGAUUCC
rnacentral:lncRNA from 1 species